rnacentral:ncRNA from 1 species
AGAAAGUUUAAUUCUAGCUUAUAAGUAUAUAAAUACUAAAAAGAUUAUAUAAAAUUUAUUAAAUUUCUUAAAAUAGUCUGUAAAAUUAAAAAUUAGUGAAAGCUAAAUUUUGUUUUAGUAAAUAAUUUUGGUAAAAAUACGUGCCAGCAACUGCGGUUAUACUAUUGAGGUAAAUAUACUUUUAUUUAUAAUUUUAAUUUAUUUAAUUAUGAAGAAAAAAAAAUUUUUUUAGGUGAAAUUUAAAAUUUUUAUGAUUCUAAAAAUAAAUUUUUAAAAACUUUCCUAAAAACUAGGAUUAGAUACCCUAUUAUUAAAGAUUAUAGAAUUGAGUAGUAAAGAAUUUUCUGAAACUUAAAGAAUUUGGCGGUAUUUUAACUAAUUGGAGGAACCUGUUAUUUAAUUGACACUACACAUUUAAUUUUUCCUAAAAUUUGUUUGUAUAUCGUUGUUUUCAGAUAAUAUUUAAAAAUUAUUAUCAAUGUUAAUAAAAUUUUAUAAAUCAAAUCAAGGUGCAGCAUUUUUAGGUUUUAAUGGGUUACAAUAUAUAUUAUAUACUACGAAUAAAAUAUUAAAAUAUAAUGAAGGUGGAUUCAAAAGUAAUUUAAAAUUAAAUAGUUUUUUUGAUUAAUAAUUUAAAAUAUGCACAUAUCGCCCGUCACUCUUUCUAUUUAAGGAAGAUAAGUCGUAACAUAGUAGAUUUACUGGAAAGUGAAUCUGGAAUGUA